GACGAACGCUGGCGGCGUGGAUUAGGCAUGCAAGUCGAACGGUAUCAUCCUUUCGGGGGUGAGAGAGUGGCGAACUGGUGAGUAACACGUAGGUUAUCUACCCUCAAGACGGGGACAACCCAGGGAAACUUGGGCUAAUACCGGAUGUGAGCAACUUUUAGUUGUUUGAAAGGUGGCGUAAGCUGUCGCUUGGGGAUGAGCCUGCGUCCUAUUAGUUAGUUGGUGAGGUAACGGCUCACCUAGGCAAAUGAUAGGUAGGCGGCCUUAACGGGUGGUCGCCCACACUGGGAUUGAGAUACGGCCCAGACUCCUACGGGAGGCAGCAGUCGAGAAUAGUCUACAAUGGCCGGAAGGCUGAUAGUGCGACGCCGCGUGAAACGAGGGAGCCCUUCGGGUGUAAAGUUCUUUUCUAUACGAGCAGUGCUAUAUAUAUGGAUAGUAUAUAAUAGAGGAUAGUAGUAUAGGAAUAAAGCAACGGCUAAACUCCGUGCCAGCAGCCGCGGUAAGACGU
rnacentral:rRNA from 1 species